rnacentral:rRNA from 1 species
UAUGAAGGGGGCUAGCGUUGCUCGGAAUCACUGGGCGUAAAGGGUGCGUAGGCGGGUCUUUAAGUCAGGGGUGAAAUCCUGGAGCUCAACUCCAGAACUGCCUUUGAUACUGAGGAUCUUGAGUUCGGGAGAGGUGAGUGGAACUGCGAGUGUAGAGGUGAAAUUCGUAGAUAUUCGCAAGAACACCAGUGGCGAAGGCGGCUCACUGGCCCGAUACUGACGCUGAGGUGCGAAAGCGUGGGGAGCAACAGG